rnacentral:rRNA from 1 species
UGCUGGAGGUAUCAGAAGUGCGAAUGCUGACAUAAGUAACGAUAAAGCGGGUGAAAAGCCCGCCCGCCGGAAGACCAAGGGUUCCUGUCCAACGUUAAUCGGGGCAGGGUGAGUCGACCCCUAAGGCGAGGCCGAAAGGCGUAGUCGAUGGGAAACGGGUUAAUAUUCCCGUACUUGGUGUUACUGCGAAGGGGGGACGGAGAAGGCUAUGUUGGCCGGGCGACGGUUGUCCCGGUUUAAGCGUGUAGGUGUGUGUUCCAGGUAAAUCCGGUUCACUUUAACACUGAGGCGUGACGACGAGGCACUACGGUGCUGAAGCAACAAAUGCCCUGCUUCCAGGAAAAGCCUCUAAGCAUCAGGUAACACGAAAUCGUACCCCAAACCGACACAGGUGGUCAGGUAGAGAAUACCAAGGCGCUUGAGAGAACUCGGGUGAAGGAACUAGGCAAAAUGGUGCCGUAACUUCGGGAGAAGGCACGCUGACACGUAGGUGAAGUGAUUUACUCAUGGAGCUGAAGUCAGUCGAAGAUACCAGCUGGCUGCAACUGUUUAUUAAAAACACAGCACUGUGCAAACACGAAAGUGGACGUAUACGGUGUGACGCCUGCCCGGUGCCGGAAGGUUAAUUGAUGGGGUCAGCGCAAGCGAAGCUCCUGAUCGAAGCCCCGGUAAACGGCGGCCGUAACUAUAACGGUCCUAAGGUAGCGAAAUUCCUUGUCGGGUAAGUUCCGACCUGCACGAAUGGCGUAAUGAUGGCCAGGCUGUCUCCACCCGAGACUCAGUGAAAUUGAACUCGCUGUGAAGAUGCAGUGUACCCGCGGCAAGACGGAAAGACCCCGUGAACCUUUACUAUAGCUUGACACUGAACAUUGAGCCUUGAUGUGUAGGAUAGGUGGGAGGCUUUGAAGUGUGGACGCCAGUCUGCAUGGAGCCGACCUUGAAAUACCACCCUUUAAUGUUUGAUGUUCUAACGUGGACCCGUAAUCCGGGUUGCGGACAGUGUCUGGUGGGUAGUUUGACUGGGGCGGUCUCCUCCUAAAGAGUAACGGAGGAGCACGAAGGUUGGCUAAUCCUGGUCGGACAUCAGGAGGUUAGUGCAAUGGCAUAAGCCAGCUUGACUGCGAGCGUGACGGCGCGAGCAGGUGCGAAAGCAGGUCAUAGUGAUCCGGUGGUUCUGAAUGGAAGGGCCAUCGCUCAACGGAUAAAAGGUACUCCGGGGAUAACAGGCUGAUACCGCCCAAGAGUUCAUAUCGACGGCGGUGUUUGGCACCUCGAUGUCGGCUCAUCACAUCCUGGGGCUGAAGUAGGUCCCAAGGGUAUGGCUGUUCGCCAUUUAAAGUGGUACGCGAGCUGGGUUUAGAACGUCGUGAGACAGUUCGGUCCCUAUCUGCCGUGGGCGCUGGAGAACUGAGGGGGGCUGCUCCUAGUACGAGAGGACCGGAGUGGACGCAUCACUGGUGUUCGGGUUGUCAUGCCAAUGGCACUGCCCGGUAGCUAAAUGCGGAAGAGAUAAGUGCUGAAAGCAUCUAAGCACGAAACUUGCCCCGAGAUGAGUUCUCCCUGAGACUUAGAGUCUCCUGAAGGAACGUUGAAGACGACGACGUUGAUAGGCCGGGUGUGUAAGCGCAGCGAUGCGUUGAGCUAACCGGUACUAAUGAACCGUGAGGCUUAACCUU